rnacentral:rRNA from 1 species
UACAGAGGGGGCAAGCGUUGUUCGGAAUUACUGGGCGUAAAGGGCGCGUAGGCGGCCUGCUAAGUCGAACGUGAAAUCCCCAGGCUUAACCUGGGAACUGCAUCUGAUACUGGAUGGCUUGAAUCCGGGAGAGGGAUGCAGAAUUCCAGGUGUAGCGGUGAAAUGCGUAGAUAUCUGGAGGAAUACCGGUGGCGAAGGCGGCAUCCUGGACCGGCAUUGACGCUGAGGAGCGAAAGCUAGGGGAGCAAACGGG